CACCAACGUGUCUUGUAGGAUCGGGUACCCAGGCUCCGUGAUAUCAUAAUAGAUCUAAUCUGUGAAAAUCGCAUCCCACUGUGGUCAUUCCGGAACAAUCAUUUCAGAAAGCUGAAGAAGUUUAUAUUAGGUACUCGUAAUAAUUGAAAGGGCUGGUACCGGACAACCAGUUUGCGCUAGACUUUAUACAGACGUAGCGUAGUCCAUGACUCCAUCCGUGACGCGCUUGGACGUUAAUAAACCAAUGAAAGGAAUCACGCCUUCUCCAGGUCUCGGCGUUAUGGGGCAUUCCCCAGAAUCUCAAAUUCUAGAAACCGAGGCUCAAUACGUAGUUCCGUUCCUCUGGACUACUCUACUAAGUAGUACGUGGAGUUAGUUAACUACUCUUCUCUUCGAAAAAGAACCAUGCAGUUGCGACCAAGUGUCUACAUAUGCUGCAUAAUAACCUCUUAGCCAGGCGCCGGUCACAACUUAUGGGUCAUGAUAUUUCUACCCUACAUCGGGAUGCCAAAGCUUCCAUAUCAAGGUCAUCGUUAUAAAGUCUGUCGUCCUCCGCGGGAUCGAUUGGUACCGAUCUUCAGGUGACCACGGCGAAAUUACUGCUUCCGUCAACCAUGUUCCCACCUUCCCCUGAUGUAUGUUUCUUCUUUCUGCCCACGAACGAGGUACCCAAGUUACUCUGCCAGAGGAUUUUCAAUUUUUGAUGGUUCGUCUUGGUGUUCGUCUAUCCGAUGAUUCCGGUAGAAUGCAAAUAGACGAUCCGUCAGGUGAUCAGGCCAGUUUCCAAAUUCAUAUACUUUAAAAAAAAAAAAAAAAAGGGAAAAAUGACUCGUCACAACAUUUUCUUCUUCGGUAACUCUGACCUUGCAAGAUUCUCGGAGCAUGGUUCUAUACUAAGCGGCCGAAUACUAAAUAACAGAUGAAGAUCUACAAAUAGGCCAAGCUCCCGUAGCGUGGGGUUUUCUCGGACAGCUACUACAAAUACUCGAAAAAGUUCGAAGAUGGUAGGCCUAAGCCCUCCAUAGUUGAGGAGGAAUCAUACGGUAAGCAUGGACUAUCUGUAAACUGUAAUGACAGAAAAAAAUCCGGGGUUGCAGGAAAUUAAACGGAGAGGAUUGGCUGAUCUCAAAUGGUUAACGGGAACGUGGUGGUCAUGGGACUCUUGUUGACGUCGGAGACCUAUUUGGUUUCCGUAUUACAUACAUAGAUACGGAGUGUAUGAUAUAACCUCUCGUACGCGUAGGUUGGUAUGACAAGUAUCUUUUCGGUACGGAGUAUUCUCGAUUCCAGUCCAUAAUAAAUCAUAACUUAAGAUGUUAAAAUUAAUUUCGGACCUGAGACGGCCUAGAUUCGCGUAUUUAUUAAUACUAUGGAGUAGGUAAGUUACCAAACACUGAUCAAUGAAUGACUUGUAAUCGGACGACAGUCUCCCUCUGACAGGAAAGUUAAUGUUUGCAGAUACCGCUCCCUAUACCGGGAUUUAAGACAUGGUCCUAUCAAGGCGCAAAUAAUGAAUAGCGAGUAUAUACCUCCGUCGUAGGGGGUGGUCUUCUGAAUCAUGUCACUCAGCUUUUGUCGUCGAGGAAAGAUUUUAGAAUCUCGGGAGUCGAGGCAGCACGGUGUUUUGGCCGAUGUGGGUAACCACUUGCAUCAGGCUACGUUAGUCCUCGCGGUAUGAGGCAUAUACUACGAAUUAACGUCCUGGCAUCAUUAGUAAGGUCGAUUUAUCGCGAGUCUGAUUCGUCGGCACGGAAGUACGGCCUCGUGGGAGAGAGUUUCGGGACUCGUACAAAGCAAAGGCGAAACGCAUAAGCCCGUUCAGGAUAAACAAUAACACCCAACAAGUUUGCAACCAUUCAGAUCAUGGCCGUUUCUAUUAUUUAUUUCAUAGUGAUUGAUUGAGUAGACACGAGACCGGUCCGUCAGUCGGGAGAAAAUCCCCCGGACCAACUGCACAGGCCUGCCACAGGGCCCAAGCUUUCUUUUUUUUAAAUCCAGAUUUCCGCAGUCAGUAUGGAGUAUGUGUGGAUGUUUGUGACUGUGCUUUGUUGAGACGCAUUGAUGACUGCAUUUAUGUGCAGGGUCCAUGUCUCGAGCAAAUGACAAGCAUAUAACAGAGCCUGUCAUCGUUAUACUCAUAAAAUCAAUUGCCUGGGCGAAAGUUAUGCCCUGAUGUUUUCGAAUGGAAGCAGCAUCAUCUGGACAUUCCUGACUGGCGAACAAGACCAGUAACAAGACCAGUAACAAGCUAGCUAACUAGUAAUUUUGGCUAGUGAUGGUAACCUGGUAACUUUACAGGGGUAUUUACAAAAGAGCCACAUCUACGAACGAGAAAAGCUAUCAUUGGUUCGAGUUUACUUAGCGCUUCGUGCGUGCAUGUUGAGCUGGCUGUGGCGCGCUAACUAAGACCCUGAUUGGACAAUCUGUGCGGGAGCCACAGGUCCAUCAAGUCAAUCAAUGGAAUGUGUUCAUCCUGAUUGGUUGUGGUGGAGGCUUUGUCUGAAGGUCACAAGAACACCUGACCAGGGUGAACGUAUUCCAUCACGUAUUGUCAGGUAAUUCAAGCAAUUACAAUGACCUCGAGCUACUGACAUUGAUGCACUCUGCACGCUCCCGCUAAUUUUAGUUAUCCAUAGCUUUUGAACAAUUCCAUUCGAUCUUUGGCCUUCUGCAUCUUGCUCGAUCUAGUUCAAUGGCUAUUCUACCUCAUAGCCAGGGUUGCAAUUUGGAACAAAUCAUGAAGCUACCUAGCCAGGUAACCUAUCUCCACCGUGUAAGUAACCUAUUUAUAUUGCCGUGGUCGCUGAAGUCGAUGUGCCGAGGUGUCUGUUGCAGUCGGCAAGUGGCUUAAAGAAUUCGUAUAGACUCGUAGGGAUUCUAGAAUAUCGU
rnacentral:lncRNA from 1 species